rfam:Populus trichocarpa isolate Nisqually-1 chromosome 11, whole genome shotgun sequence.
GAAAAGAUUGCCGAGUAGUUGAUAGCUCCGGUCUUGAAAACCGGUAUAGUUCUUUCCGAACUAUCAAGGGUUCAAAUCUCUCUCUCUUUU